rnacentral:rRNA from 1 species
GCAGUCGAACGGUAGCACAGAGAGCUUGCUCUCGGGUGACGAGUGGCGGACGGGUGAGUAAUGUCUGGGAAACUGCCUGAUGGAGGGGGAUAACUACUGGAAACGGUAGCUAAUACCGCAUAACGUCGCAAGACCAAAGAGGGGGACCUUCGGGCCUCUUGCCAUCAGAUGUGCCCAGAUGGGAUUAGCUAGUAGGUGGGGUAACGGCUCACCUAGGCGACGAUCCCUAGCUGGUCUGAGAGGAUGACCAGCCACACUGGAACUGAGACACGGUCCAGACUCCUACGGGAGGCAGCAGUGGGGAAUAUUGCACAAUGGGCGCAAGCCUGAUGCAGCCAUGCCGCGUGUAUGAAGAAGGCCUUCGGGUUGUAAAGUACUUUCAGCGGGGAGGAAGGUGUUGUGGUUAAUAACCACAGCAAUUGACGUUACCCGCAGAAGAAGCACCGGCUAACUCCGUGCCAGCAGCCGCGGUAAUACGGAGGGUGCAAGCGUUAAUCGGAAUUACUGGGCGUAAAGCGCACGCAGGCGGUCUGUCAAGUCGGAUGUGAAAUCCCCGGGCUCAACCUGGGAACUGCAUUCGAAACUGGCAGGCUAGAGUCUUGUAGAGGGGGGUAGAAUUCCAGGUGUAGCGGUGAAAUGCGUAGAGAUCUGGAGGAAUACCGGUGGCGAAGGCGGCCCCCUGGACAAAGACUGACGCUCAGGUGCGAAAGCGUGGGGAGCAAACAGGAUUAGAUACCCUGGUAGUCCACGCCGUAAACGAUGUCGAUUUGGAGGUUGUGCCCUUGAGGCGUGGCUUCCGGAGCUAACGCGUUAAAUCGACCGCCUGGGGAGUACGGCCGCAAGGUUAAAACUCAAAUGAAUUGACGGGGGCCCGCACAAGCGGUGGAGCAUGUGGUUUAAUUCGAUGCAACGCGAAGAACCUUACCUGGUCUUGACAUCCACAGAACUUUCCAGAGAUGGAUUGGUGCCUUCGGGAACUGUGAGACAGGUGCUGCAUGGCUGUCGUCAGCUCGUGUUGUGAAAUGUUGGGUUAAGUCCCGCAACGAGCGCAACCCUUAUCCUUUGUUGCCAGCGGUUAGGCCGGGAACUCAAAGGAGACUGCCAGUGAUAAACUGGAGGAAGGUG